AUUGAACGCUGGCGGCAUGCUUUACACAUGCAAGUCGAACGGCAGCGGGGAGGAGCUUGCUUCUCUGCCGGCGAGUGGCGAACGGGUGAGUAAUACAUCGGAAUGUGUCGAGAGGAGGGGGAUAACCACCCGAAAGGGUGGCUAAUACCGCAUAAAUUCUGAGGAAGAAAGCUGGGGACCUGGGAAUAGGCCUAGCGCUUUUUGAGCGGCCGAUGUCGGAUUAGCUAGUUGGUGAGGUAAAGGCUCACCAAGGCGAAGAUCUGUAGCGGGUCUGAGAGGAUGAUCCGCCACACUGGGACUGAGACACGGCCCAGACUCCUACGGGAGGCAGCAGUGGGGAAUUUUGGACAAUGGGGGCAACCCUGAUCCAGCCAUGCCGCGUGUAUGAAGAAGGCCUUAGGGUUGUAAAGUACUUUUGUUAGGGAAGAAAAGUCAGCUGUGAAUAAUGGCUGAUACUGACGGUACCUAAAGAAUAAGCACCGGCUAACUACGUG
rnacentral:rRNA from 1 species